UACGUAGGGGGCAAGCGUUGUCCGGAUUUAUUGGGCGUAAAGAGCGUGUAGGCGGCCUUACAGGUCAGCUGUGAAAACUCGAGGCUCAACCUCGAGACGUCGGUUGAAACCGUAAGGCUAGAGUCCGGAAGAGGAGAGUGGAAUUCCUGGUGUAGCGGUGAAAUGCGCAGAUAUCAGGAAGAACACCCGUGGCGAAGGCGGCGCUCUGGGACGGUACUGACGCUGAGACGCGAAAGCGUGGGGAGCGAACAGG
rnacentral:rRNA from 1 species